CAAUAGCGUAUAUUUAAGUUGUUGCAGUUAAAAAGCUCGUAGUCGGAUUUUGGCUGAGAACGAACGGUCCGCCGUUAGGUGUGCACUGUUUGGUCUCAGCUUCCUGGUGAGGAGGUGUGCUUCACGGCCACUUAGUCACCGUGAUUACUUUGAAAAAAUUAGAGUGUUCAAAGCGGGCUUACGCUUGAAUAUAUUAGCAUGGAAUAACACCAUAGGACUCCUGUCCUAUUUCGUUGGUCUCGGGACGGGAGUAAUGAUUAAGAGGAACAGUUGGGGGCAUUCGUAUUUCAUUGUCAGAGGUGAAAUUCUUGGAUUUAUGAAAGACGAACUUCUGCGAAAGCAUUUGCCAAGGAUGUUUUCAUUG
rnacentral:rRNA from 1 species